CUGAGGGUAAGUUAAUAAAACUAAAGGUUUGUGGAGCCUUAAAUAUAUUUAUAUUCUUCAGU
rnacentral:tRNA from 1 species